rnacentral:rRNA from 1 species
GAUGAACGCUGGCGGCGUGCCUAAUACAUGCAAGUCGAACGCAUAGCGAAAGGUGCUUGCCCCUUUCAAGUGAGUGGCGAACGGGUGAGUAACACGUGGACAACCUGCCUCAAGGCUGGGGAUAACAUUUGGAAACAGAUGCUAAUACCGAAUAAAACUUAGUGUCGCAUGACACAAAGUUAAAAGGCGCUUCGGCGUCACCUAGAGAUGGAUCCGCGGUGCAUUAGUUAGUUGGUGGGGUAAAGGCCUACCAAGACAAUGAUGCAUAGCCGAGUUGAGAGACUGAUCGGCCACAUUGGGACUGAGACCCGGCCCAAACUCCUACGGGAGGCUGCAGUAGGGAAUCUUCCACAAUGGGCGAAAGCCUGAUGGAGCAACGCCGCGUGUGUGAUGAAGGCUUUCGGGUCGUAAAGCACUGUUGUAUGGGAAGAACAGCUAGAAUAGGAAAUGAUUUUAGUGUGACGGUACCAUACCAGAAGGGGACGGCUAAAUACG